AACGAACGCUGGCGGCAUGCCUAACACAUGCAAGUCGAACGAGACAUUCGGGUCUAGUGGCGCACGGGUGCGUAACGCGUGGGAACCUGCCCUUAGGUUCGGAAUAACUUCCCGAAAGGGGUGCUAAUACCGGAUAAUGUCUUCGGACCAAAGAUUUAUCGCCUUUGGAUGGGCCCGCGUUGGAUUAGUUAGUUGGUAGGGUAAAAGCCUACCAAGGCGACGAUCCAUAGCUGGUCUGAGAGGAUGAUCAGCCACACUGGGACUGAGACACGGCCCAGACUCCUACGGGAGGCAGCAGUGGGGAAUAUUGGACAAUGGGCGGAAGCCUGAUCCAGCAAUGCCGCGUGAGUGAUGAAGGCCUUAGGGUUGUAAAGCUCUUUUACCCGGGAUGAUAAUGACAGUACCGGGAGAAUAAGCUCCGGCUAACUCCGUG
rnacentral:rRNA from 1 species